UUCAUGUUGAAGGAGGAAUAUAAAACUGCAGAAUCAUUUGGGUUCUUCCGAUCUUUGUAUCACAAUUUCCAUUCGGAUGUGAACUUAUCAGCCUACCCAUCUGGAAUUCCUAAGAACUUCAUCUGCUCAAGGAUGCAUCCAGUGAAUGUUUCUCUCCGAAAAUGGUGCUAAGGAAUAUUUAGUGGAAACUUAUUCGUUGCCUGCCAUGUGUCACACACAGUGCUCAGCGCUAGGGAUAUGAUGAACAACAUAAAGAUGACCCUGACCUUGUGGAACUUCGGUCUUGAAAGGAGACAAGUCUGCUGUUCUCAUCACAUUAACAAACAGCCAAGCGGCUCCUGAAGCAUGAUCCUGGCAGAGAGCCAAAGUACCGGUGUGGACAGCACCGGCUGUCACAGGACUCGGAGCAGAAAGGGAGGGUGUUGCGGAAAGAGUUACUUGAGGGGAAAAAAAUUCAGUGCAACAGUUGUGAAGGAAGACAAAAUUGCAGAUCAAAGGGGGCCGAGCCAUGAGUUCUGAGGCCCAGGACCCCUGUGCCUGUACGCCUCUCACAGCGCGCUUCCUCCGGGGUGGACUUCCCUGGUCAUAUUCUCCAUAGAGUUUCUCCUCCCCUCUCCCCCGGCCCCAUCCCAACCUACGUGCUCCCGGACAGUCACCUUGAAGUCAUUCCCUCUCUCUGCCCCACGGCUGGAGGCAGCAUAGGGUCCUGGGUCAGAAGGAGGAAGUGGGUGGAGAACAGGCCUGGACAGAGAAACAGAACUUCAGAAAAGUUUUAUCUCCAUGAGGGCAGGGAUCUUUCUUCAGUUCAUGAAUGUAUCUAAGCCUGACUUACAUGCUGACUCUGACUCAUCGAGUGCUUCUAAUAGAAUUUGUUAAAUAAAUUUUUAAAUGAA